CAAGAAUAAAGACAUGUAAGUGACACAAUUUGAUCCGGCAUGAGUAAAUAAGACCCCGUCGAUGAAUGUGAUGUGAGCUCUAAGUAAGCAAAAUUAUUUACUGCUGCGACCAUCGCAAAAGUUGCUUGUUCAUCAAGGAAAAGGUGUUACAUAACAAACAUAAUUCUUCAUUAUUUAUGAGCCUUUUAAAAUUCCUUGUUCCAGUCUUCAAGUAUUUAUAAGGGAUCUGAUUUAGGAAGUCUAAAAGAUGAUAGUUAUAAGCAUGCUUUCAUAACUGUAAUAUGUGUCCAACGAAUUUGUUACAAUUUUUUCAUAAUACAUGUCAAGAAAGAGUGGUACAUGUCAAGACAAGACUUGCGUUUUGACUAAGAAUAUAUUACCUUGUAGUACCCCUUCAUCAAUUGUGGGCCCCUGACUUUCAAAAUUCCCUUUGAACCAGGUGGAAGAACUUCACCAGUUUCAGAAUCGACAACUUUGAAUUCUGUAUGCUUAAGUGGAUACCCCACAGAUCCAAUUACCUUUAAAAGAAAGAAUUCGAAUAAUUUUCAGAUUAAAACACUGCUAUUUGCAGACUCAAAUUUAAAGAAUGCAAAUUAUGUAAUAAUUAUGAGUACAAACCUCUAGACAGAAUCGGGAAGAAAGGUGUACAGUGUGUUUGUUAUUAACAUAUGAUGCAGAGUAGAUGGAUGCAUUUUGAAAAGAAAAAUUUAUCAAGUAGGCAUGCCAACACCUAAUUUAGUAGAACUAUCAUUUAGCCCUUCUGAUUUCUUAAUAAAACCUAGUAAUUGUUAUUGUUAUUCUCUACAUUUUUAUCACAUAGUAGAUUUUAGGUUUAACUCAACAUCACAUAACCGGUUUAUAACAUGAUAUCUCUAUCUGUUAAUGUGAGAAGUAUCCAAUUCUUGAGGAACCCUCCCUUAAAAGCAAGCUAUCGAAGAGGAAGAACCAGGCUACUUAAAUAUUCUACCAAGUAUCCCAUACUACACCAUUUGGGACUCUGAGCACCCCAUAAUACCCAAGUCUCUAUCACAUGAAGGUCAAAACAAUAUUUUUAAUCUAAUGAUACUUGGCCUUAUAUUAUGCAGUUUAUAGUGUAUUGCUUACGUCACAACCAAGUCGUCGAGCAGCAAUAACCGGUGAAGUUUCUGUUAAACCAUAUCCAUUCUGCAAAUUCAAACCAAUAGCCUGUAUAGUAUUUUAAAAAAAUACAUUAGAAGAUAGCCAAAAAGAAAAUUCCUGCUUGAGAAUAACAAAAAUGAGAAGAAUCAAACCUCAAAAAACUUAUCAACAUGAGAAGGUAAGCUACCACCACCACUUAUUGCAGCCUGCAGAGUGCAAAAGGUUUUGCUUAUCCUCAGCAGAAAAGUGAUGGAUUUCCAAAUAACAAAUAAUGGCACUAUGGUAUAUAGUAUGAAAACUAUUUUUUCAUCACAAAUAAUAUGAAGAGUGUAGUAUUUUCUUCCCAAAACGUUUUUCCUCUCAAUGGAGUCGAUCAAUCAGUACGAGACUUCACAUAUGAGACAGUAAAAUAAGAUCAUAAAACUUUACCAUAAAGCAUAGUACAGAAUAUAAUACCGUUGAUAUUCCAAUAGUUGAACGGAUUUUACUGUAGACCAGUUUAUUUGCCAGCAUAUGAACUGGAUAUAAUAUUGUAGCCAUAAUUCUUGCCCAUAGCCAAUCCAACAUUGCAUAGAGAUAGGAAGGUGCUUUCUGAUUCUUGGUUAAACAUUUACCCUAUAAACAUAUUGUACAAAAUUUAUUAUCAUUGGUCAACAAUAGAAUUACUAUGAUAGAACAUGUUUGUUUCAAACUAUUUUAUGAAAAAGUAUCUUUUUAGGAUAUAUUUUUUUUUAAUUUCUUUUGUUCAGCAUUUGGAAAUAAUCAUAAUCUGAGAAAGAUAUGAAAUAUAGAGAUGAUGACCAGACCUCAUAAAUUCGCUUGCACUCCAUGUAUCCUAAGCUGACCCUUAUGAAUGUGAGAGCGACAAGCUUUCUAACAAGUGAGCUUGUAGAUAUCUGCUUCAUGAUCCCACUACAGAGGAACCAAAAACAAAAACAAAUGUUAUUAUUCACUGGUGGCAUUAAAUAGAACAAACUAUAUUCUUCUUACAAUUCCUGAGAAAAGGAGUUACCUGUAUAAAGUUUCAAAAACUAAAGGAACAGAAACCAUUAAAUGUGGUUUAUAACGUCCCAAAUCAUCCUAGAUCAAAAUAAAGUACAUGAUAUUAAUCAAAUGAAGCCAUGAGUGUUCUUUUAUGGCAUACAGUACCGUGCGUUAAGGUUUAAAUAAAUGAUUAGAUUAAUAAUACCUUCAAGUUUCUUACAGUAGUGUAUAUAUGUUCAAGACCACGUGAGAAAACUAAAUACUCGCAAGCUCUUUCAUAUGCAUGCCAAGGAGGCAACAUACUUAGAAAUUUAUCUCCAGCUUCAGUAGUAGGUACAACGUCCGAUAAGUGUUUGAUCUAGAAAUUCAUUCACACGUAAUAGCCAUAUGUGAAAAGCCAAGAAUUAUAGCCUUGUAAGAGUUCUAUUAAAAAUCAAAUAGCUUGUCUGAAAAUACUAAAAUAACAUUGCCACAGUAAAGUUUAUGACAGAUUUGCAAUCAAACCUGAUGCAAAAGAUUCUGAUGGGUUAGCAUAACACCUUUAGGAUUUCCAGUAGUACCACUUGUGUACACAAGAGUAGCAAUGUCAUCCAAUUUUAUUGUUUCAAAGAUAUAGUGUUCUCCUGCAAUCACAUUGUAGAUGAGUUUGUUGUGAACCUGAUUACUGUUCCUUUUGAUGAUUAAGAGAAAGACUAAUAGGUAUGAAUGUAUAUUACAGAGAAGGUGCAGGUGGCAUACUAGCAUCAUCGGAGGUGUGCAAUGCCCUGCGACUUUGACGCCCAAAAUUUAUGACUUCCAUGAAUGUAUAGAUUGGCACCCCUUUGUCUGCUUCAUUGACAAGGCUUGAUUUUUCUCCCCAAAGCAGAAUAAUAAAUCUGAUUGAGGUCUUCAAAUAAAAUGGUUUUGCAAUCUGAUUAUACAUUUCAGGAUUGUCCACAGCUAGUGCAACACUUUCAGAGUGGUUGUAUAUUUGCAGUAGUUCUUCAAUUGAUGACCUUGAACCCCUAACCACAUUGAUUGCUCCAAUUGCCAUCAUGCCUAGACUAAACACAUAGCAAUAUAGCAUGGAUGUGAUUAAACUGUAACUGACAUAACUACCACUAUAUAUGAUCACCACUUUGCAUGCUUUUAAGAAUUAAUUUUGUUUCACUUUAACCAAACAUGUUUUAUUUUAGAAUUGGCAUUUGAAAAUUAACAAAAACUGAAAAAUUGCAACCACCCCAAACAGGACCUUAGGUAAUAAAUUCACAAAAUUUUGCACACCUUGAUCUGCUACAAGCCAGCGACACGAGUUAUCAGCAAAAAGAGCAAUUUUCUCAUCAGGUUUUACUCCAAUAACUCUCAACCCCUCAGCAAAGUUUAAUAUUGCAUCCUUCAACUGAAAUGUUGUUAAGAAAAAUUGACAUAUGAUAUAACAUACAACCGAAUGAGAUUUCAUAAGAUAAGUUUCACAGAUGAUUCAAAUUGAAACAAAAAUCAUUCAUUAUGUCAUCAAGCCCAUAAAACUUUAAAAUAAUUUGAAAUUGCUUUACCCUAUCAAUAAAUCUUGAGACUAACGUACAAAAUUACAUAGUUUUAACAUACAUUCAAUAAUCAAAGUUUCAAAAGGACCACAUGCAUAUUCUACAAGACAAUGGUUUAAGAGCAUGAAGUCAAAAAAAGAGUCAAUUGAGUCAACAUAGUAAGAUAAUGUUUAUCUGAUAUCUAUGUCCCACCACCAAUAAAACUCAACCAUAUCUCCUAAAAUAAAACAAACGAAACCACACAAAGAUCAUUGAUUAAAGCCGGUGCUUAUUCUUCUAAACUGUUACUCUAUAUUAUAGGACAUGCUUAUUACCUAAGUAAACCUGAAAAAUAGUUAUAUAAAUAUAUAUAUAUAUAUAUAUAUAUAUAUAUAUAUAUAUAUAUAUAUAUAUAUAUAUAUAUAUAUAUAUAUUGCAUUCUACUACAUGUAAAGAAUUCCAUCAUCUACUUUGAACCAAACUCUACUCUAACCAUACCCAAUAACAGUAAAUUUAGUGAUACAACCGUGUUCCAUGCUAUCAACCUAGUAAGAAAAAAAAACCUGUUUGUAUGUCAUAGUUGAAGGAGGAUCAUGAUAUUGAUCUACCAAAGCUACUUUAUCACCAUACUUCUCUGCAGAAGUUCUCCAAAUAUCAGGAACAGCUUUCCACUCAUCUAAAGCCACACCACCAUUACCGGAACUUUCUAAUAAAGGGGAAAACCUUCUUAUCUCCGUUUUCUUUGUCUGCAUAUAUACAAUACUUUGUGAUUGGAAAUUGUAAGAUAAAAUUAACCAAUAUGACAUUAACAACAAAUAUAAUGCCAAUACAUAAUUAUUACAUAUCCUGAAAUACUGCAGGCAUGUUUAUCAUAGAAGCGGUUGUGUACGAGGUGUUAGCUUAAUUAGUGGUAAGAGUUUAACUUUUUAAUUUUAUACAAGACAAUUGUAAAAUGGUCAUUAGCGUUGCGUCUUAUUAAUAAUAGUUUUCCCUUCCACAACUUCUAUAAAGUUACCUUGGAUUGAGUAUGGCAAAAGACGCGAAAAGAAGAGGUUGGAGAAAUGUUGAUGGUGGUGGUGAAGUUGGUGCGAGCAAAGAAGAGAGGAAGUGAAUGGAUGGAAGAAGCAUAGUUGUAGUUAGAGGAGGUGAUAGGAAUUCCCGCCAUUGGAAUUUGGCAGAAGAAGAAGAGAUAAUGGAAUGGAAUGAAUGCAGAGAACGUAAGAGAUAUUAUUGUUAAUAUGAACAAGUAGUAGCGAGAAUGAGAAAAGUAGUUUGGUCCAACUUAUAUUUAUGUCAGUUUUUGGUGCAUGAUGAGGGUCCAAUCUGUGUAACUGUUGAAAUUUGUAAAUCAUUUAUUAUUUAUUAUAGUAUAUACUAUUUAUUCUUGAAUUUUUCAAGAAAACGUUAAAUCGGUUUCCAUUAAUUUUUUGAAAAAGAAAUAUUCAGUGUGGGAAGAAUUGUAAUGUAGAUAUCGCCCUUACAUGGUGGCACGGUCAUUUAUUAUUACAAUUGCCAUCAAAAUAAUCCUAAAUUUUAGAAAGAUAAAUGCUUACAUCACUCUUUUUCAAAUCUCUUUUCAACUCAACUCUACUAUUGAGUGAAAUUAAUCAGAGUUUCACCAUUUUAUGGAAAGUCCAUUUUUAAGAUAUGAUACUCACAUAAAUUUCAUCUAAUAAAAUAGUGGAUGUUAGAGAAUAUUGUUAAAGAAAAAAAAAAAGUGUCAUAGCAUUUUCCUUUUCCAAAAAUAGAUCUUAGGUGUAAUUUUUAUGAGUGUCUCACUAUUAAAAAUGAGAGAGAAACAUAUAAAACAUCGAAAUGAUAUUUUUUUUUCUUUUUAUUUUGAAUGGUUAGAAAUUAUACAUUACUUUAUAAUUUGAAGAUCACACAUGAGAUGAUCUAGUUCCUUAAAUUUUCAUAAAGAAAUUUAGACUUCACCGGUAACAAAAUUAACUACUUCCAAACUUGUUAAGAUAAUUAUUCACAUUUACUCUUAUUAAUCUCAUUUAAAAUUAAAACUUAAACAUCAUUAUCUAAAUUAUCCCUCAUUUUAUUAAAUUCUAUAACAAAAAUCAUUAUCUUUUAAGGACAUUUUUUUAUACUGUAUCACUAAAGAUGAUUAAAAGAGUUUAUUUUUGCUUGCAUUUUAUUACAACCGUGAGAUGUGUCAAAUUUUGCUGAUUUUUUUUUUUAAAAAGAGAGAGUACAUUUCUAACUCAUACGUUGUUGAUUUUUAUUAUGGAGAGUACAACUCGUAUGUUAGAUAUAUUUAAAUCUUAAUUAAGCUUGGUUCAAUAUUGUAUAUAAGGUAGUUUUUUUUUCCUUCGAUAUGAUGCACUAAAACUCAUGCACAAGUUUACAAAGGGAUUUUAACAUUUUUUGUAUAUUGUACAGAGGUAGUUUUUUUUUUACUCUCUUGCACAAGUUCAUUAGUGUACCAUACAUCGAUUUUCAGAUGAUUCCUACACUAUCAUUUUUUUGGACAAUGAAUCAUAAAAUCAAACUUUCUAUAAAAAAAAAAAUUGUCGGGAGAUGAUUCUAAUUCUAUAUAUUUUUCUUUUAUCUUCCUUGUUUCAUGUCUAUGUGAAAACACCUUUACAUAAUUAUCCUUUUUUUUUUUCCUUCAAUUUUGAACCGUCCAUUUCGGUUCCAAUUUGUUUUGUUUGGACUUUGGACAUCGACCUCUGAAUUCUUUCUUGCACGGAUCUCUUCCAUUUAUUUAUGGUUGAGAAAACUUGGGUACAAUUCAUUAUCGUAUGAUUUUCUUCAAAUUCAUAAUUUUCUUAAAUCCAUAAUUUUCUUAAAGUUUGUUAUAUACAAAAAAUAUGUAUUUUUAGUUAAGAACCAUACGAAAAACACCUAAUGAAUUGUACCUAAGUUUUCUCCUCAAGUAAAACGCUUAAUUGAUGUUUUACACCAACCAUAGAAGAUUAAGUGUGUGUUUGGUAUGGCGGUGACGAGAAUUGAUUUUGAUAGAAUUGAAUUUGAGAGAAUUGAUUUUGGUUAAAAGUGGGUUUGAGGUGAAUUGAUUAUGUUUGGAUACACUUGUUUGAAAGUGAUUCUUAUGAGUUGAUUUCGUUUGGAUAGUUUGAAUCAAAAUUAAUUUUGAAUGUAAAAUGACAAAAUUAUCCUUUUAAUUGUAUUUAAAACUAAACAUCCCAUUCUUAUUUUAGAUACUUAUUUGAACUUAUCUAAAAUCAUAAAUGGAUUUUUAUUGGUUCAAAAUUUUAUUUUAAAAUAAAUGGAUAUAUAUAUAUAUAUAUAUAUCAGUUUAUAAAAAUCUUUUUUUUUUAGAAAAUUUAUAAGAUUUUUUAAAAAAUAUAUUUUUUAUCAACUUGGUUAUUUUUAAUACAAUAUAAAAAAAUUUCAAGGGUGUGAAAAUACACAGCAUCAAACGAUAUUAUCAAUCCAAAAUAUUGGAACACAACCCAACCCAAUAGAUAAAAAAAAAACUCCAAUUUAUGUCACUCUAGAAAUCACGUGUUCCUUACGCUUCUAACCUUUCUUCUUCCCCAUCUCACUAUUUUUCUUCCAUCCUACCAUUUCUCCAUCACUCAGUACUGGUCUGAUUGGCCUCAAGCUCACAGAGGGGAAGAUAGAUCUGUAUCGAAGAUGUGUGUUUGUGAAGAAGAAAGUUGUUAAUGUGUAAUUAUGUAAAUUUACAUGUCAUUGAAAAACAAAUUGUUUGAUUCGAUUUUGCUUUGCCGUGAAAGCUUCAAUUUGUAGCUUUGAGAAAACCCACGUUUGGGGCCAAACCCGCGUUUCAGAGAAUUGAUUCUGAAACCCAUCCAAACAUCAAAAGUAUGUUGAAACAGCGUUUCAAAAAGCAAACUGGCUUUUGAGGCUAUUAGACGUGAUACCAAACAAGCACCAAGUGAUUUUCAUUAUUUACAUACUUCCACUCCAUGCUAAUUAAACCAUUUUUCAUUCUCCGUAUGUUUCUACUUUAUGAUAGUUAAACGUUUUUAAUUCUCUUAGGCUUUGUUGAAGACUUGUUUGCCGUUUAUGAGAUUUUGAUAACAAUCUUAAAUUUAUUGCUGCAAUAACAUGUGGUUGGUCUCAAUGGAAAGAGACUCAAACAUCUUAAACCCUUGGAAGGGGCUGCUAAUUGGCAUUGCUAUCAAAAAAUUUAUGGUUGCCAUAAUCAUGAUCUAAAUCAGUUCAUCUAACAAAAUCUAAAUAAAAAAUUGUGAUCCAUAAAGGGCUGCUAAUACUUGCUACCCAGUUGGAAGGGCUGCUAAUAUUCAUUACUCCUUUCUGUAUUAAAAAAAUUGCCAAGAGUUGGAAGGGCUGCUAAUCACAUCAUUUUAGCAAACAGACCAUCGAUGUCAAGAGUUGGUUUAAGUAAUUGAAAACGAUAGAACCCAAAAUCACAUGCUGUAAAUGUUACAUAACCUCUCUCCCUUUUCUCUAUUUAGAAUUACUCAAAUCCCUUUCGCCUAAUGGUUUUCCAUCCCCUCCCCACCAUCAAUUCUAGAAGACAAUUAUUGUGUUUUGUUUUCAUUCCAGUUGCUAGUUUUCAAAUGCAGAAUUUUGACAAACAAAAAAAAGAACACAGAAAUUGCUUUCAAACAAUUAGGAGCGCAAAUGAGCCAAGCAGAGUGAUUGAAGUUUAGAUUUGACUUAAAAAAAAAAUGAAUUACUCAGGUUUGACUCAUUUAUUUGAACAAUUCUAACUAAAAUCUUCAGCUUGACAGACAUACAUUUAACUACGUUGAUGCUAAUUAGUUCAAGCUAACUUGACAUGCCAACUUCAAAAGAAGAAAACAGUCAUUUCCGUCCUGUAAUAACAUAAUGCAUUGGCACAAAAUCUUUUAUUAAUGAAAGCGAACAGUAUUUACAUUCUCUAAGAAAAUAUAAUAACAAAAGGAAUGACAGACAGGAACAAGGAUUAAGGAUUUUGCUACUAUCUACAGCCAAAACUCUAUUGUGCAUGCCAUUAGCAUGAGGAGAGUUUGCUUGUAUAGAUUCUCCAUUUGGUUUCUGUGUUGAGUCUUAACUAUUUGUAGCCAUACCAUUGGCAUUAGGAAAGAUUACUUGUAUAGAUUCUCUAUUUGCUCCUUGUAUUGAGCCAUAAUUCUAUCCCUUCGAAUUUUCAUUGUGGGUGUCAUUAGCCCAUUAUCAAUCUGUCAUUAUAGUAAAACGUUAACCAAAUAUGUCAAUGGAAAUAAUACAAAGAAUCAAAUCUGUUAAGUCUAACCGUGAAGGGAUCAUUUACGAGAAGGAUUGGCCCAAUUUGAAAUGGAAACUCGGACGUCCUGCAUGAUAAUGGGGGAGAGAUUCAAUUUUCAGAUAGAAAAUAUUUGAUAUGUUUCCCAUUCGUGACACCCCUGACCAUGUACUGAAUUUCACUCACAAUAAUUUUUUUUUUUCUUUGGUAGAUAGACGAAAUGGCAAAGCCAUUAUAAACUCACACACACAAGUGGAGGAACCGGGGUUCGAACCCCGGUCAUAGCAUCCGGCCUAACAAUUUCGACAUUUUGCCAGUUGAGCUAGGACUUCUGGAUCACUCACAAUAAUUUAAUUAGAGGUAAAAAAUAAUAUUCUCUUCCAUUCUCAUAAACUUCAACUUAAGCUAAUAUUAACCAUUAUAAUAAAAAACUGCUCUUCCUUGUAAACACAAACAGAAGAGUGACAAGGACUUACCAGGUCCUUAAUUCAUUAUAUAUCAGACUGGUCACAUUUUCCUGACUGAGAUCUGAACUAUUGGAAUCUAUAAUUGACAAUUCCCUUGCUGCCUUUAAGACUUCUUUGUUGGGAACAACUACAGCUCCUAGACGUCGCUUAUCCUAUAUGUCCAAAUAAGUGAAAUUAUUGCAUUUUGCAAUAUUUUUUAUACAGUUUGUAUGUAGGCCUUGAACCAAAAAAAUUUAAAGACGUCAAAAUUUAAAUUAACCUGGCCAAUGACAACAAUUUGUUGUAUGAGACUACUCCUCAUCGCAGCUUCUUCAAGUUCUACCGGUUCAACAUUUUCACCUUCUCUUAUUGAAACACAUAAGGCAAAAUGAUUAUCACCACCCUUUUUGUGCAGAGAUAAAAAAGCAUUGUUGCAAUUAAGGGUCAAAAAAUGGAGUGAUGAUCGUAAAAGAUCCUCGUAGACAGUAGACACAUGACAGCUAAGAAAUCCAUUAGUUACAAGUGACAAGGUUACUUUUACCGGAAGUGUCCAUUUCUUUUUUUGGAUCAAUCCGGAAGUGCCCAUUGUCCCGAUAAGUAAUGUCUCCUCCCUUUCUGUAUGUUUGUGUUAUGUUAUGUGUGCUUUCUAUUAAUAAACAAUAUUAGAAUAAUAUUUGAGACUAAUUUAGUUGAUACUCAUUUACUGUCUUUAAGGUGUAAUUAUUUGGUUUCAAUUGCUUUCAAUUAUAUUUCCCUCUUUAGAUGAUUUCCAGGGAUUUGGUGUAAUUACCCUGAUGUAGGACAAGCUGUACAUUGUGUAUAUAAAUCAGCCUUUGAGCAUCAAUAUGAAUAACACAUUCUGCCUCAUCCUAUUUCUUUAAACAAACAUACCGAAAGGGAGGAAUAUUACUAAUAGGAUUCAAAGAUCAGCAAACACAAACUUCUGUUCUACCUGAUGAAAGCACAAUGGUGUCUUUAGCACGACCUUCAACAACAAUCACACCGCCACAAUUACGACUCCGUCCAGAUGAAUGGUAGGCAGCAAUCCAACCUAUGUCACCAGUAUUCAGCCAGCCAUCCUUGUCUAUGGCCUGAUUUGUGGCUGAAGGAUUCUGAUACAAGAAUAGAGAUAUGUAACUGACACAACUUUUUUUUGGUAAAGUGUAACUGACACAGCUUGAUCCAGCAUAUGUCAAUAAGACCCCAUGACAUGAAUAUGAUCUGAGCUCUUAAGUAAACAACAGUUUUGACCUCUAUAGUCAUUACACAAGUUACGAGUAGGUACAUCAGGGAAAAGGUGUUAAUGACAAACAAAACUCUUCGUCUCAAGAAUACUAAAAGAGCACUGGAUUAUGAGCCUUUUAUAAUCCCUUGUCCCAAUUGUCAAGUUUGGAAGACAAUCAAAUCUUUAUUAAUGAAUAAAACUAUAACACCAGUAUAAAAGAGCUACUUUAGAAAGCCCGAAAUAUAAAAGUAAUAUAUGUGCUAUAGGUGUCCAAUAAGAAUGUUAUAUACUUUUUCAUAUACAUGCACUCUCUUUCUCUCUUUCGUACGCAUGCACACACACAUUUAUAUAUGCAGAGACAAGAGACAACAAGUUUGCAUUUUUGAGAAAAUAGAUUACCUUGUAGUAUCCCUUCAUCAAUUGUGGGCCCCUGACUUUCAAAAUUCCCUUAUAACCAGGUGGAAGAACUUCACCAGUUUCAGAAUCUACAACUUUAAACUCUGUAUGCUUAAGUGG
rnacentral:lncRNA from 1 species